GCCCCAUAGAGCCCCAUAGAGCCCCAUAGAGCCCCAUAGCCCCAUAGAGCCCAUAGAGCCCCAUAGAGCCCCAUAGAGCCCCAUAGCCGCCCCAUAGAGCCCCAUAGAGCCCCAUAGAGCCCCAUAGCCGCCCCAUAGAGCCCCAUAGAGCCCCAUAGAGCCCCAUAGCCGCCCCAUAGAGCCCCAUAGAGCCCCAUAGAGCCCCAUAGCCCCCCCAUAGAGCCCCAUAGCGCCCCAUAGAGCCCCAUAGCCGCCCCAUAGAGCCCCAUAGAGCCCCAUAGCCGCCCCAUAGAGCCCCAUAGAGCCCCAUAGAGCCCCAUAGCCGCCCCAUAGACCCCCAUAGAGCCCCAUAGAGCCCCAUAGAGCCCCAUAGCCGCCCCAUAGAGCCCAUAAGCCCCAUAGAGCCCAUAGCCGCCCCAUAGAGCCCCAUAGAGCCCCAUAGAGCCCCAUAGCCGCCCCAUAGAGCCCCAUAGAGCCCCCAUAGAGCCCCAUAGCCGCCCCAUAGAGCCCCAUAGAGCCCCAUAGAGCCCCAUAGACCCCCAUAGCCGCCCCAUAGAGCCCCAUAGAGCCCCAUAGAGCCCCAUAGCCGCCCCAUAGAGCCCCAUAAGAGCCCCAUAGAGCCCUAUACUGCCCCAUAGAGCCCCAUAGAGCCCCAUAGCCGCCCCAUUAGAGGCCCAUAGAGCCCCCAUAGCGUCCCAUAGAGCCCCAUAGACCCCCAUAGACCGCC
ensembl:lncRNA